CUAAAACAAGCGCCCCCGCCUCGACAGUUUCCCGGAAUCGAGCGGUUCCACCUCCCCCGACUCGCUCGCCCGGCGCCGAUUCCGCGCGCGCCGCCCUUUGCCCUCCCCGUCUCGCUCGUCGACGCCUCCGCUCCGCUGUCCCGCGCGAGCCGCCCUCGCACUCCCCGUCUCGCUCCCCCCGACGCCGCCGCUGCGCCGUCCCGCGCGCGCCGGCCUCUUCCUCAGGUUCGACGGCGCGUGGGACAACGCCAUCCCCUUCCCAUCGCGGUUCGUGGAUACGAGGUGGAAUGGGGGAUAACGGCAGGGCAACCUCUCCCUCUGCUGCGAUGAACGCGACCGUGACUGACUUCACUGGCUUUGCAGCGAACUGUGAGCAAGUGUACCAAGAUGAUUUGCUGUGUUCUCGCAUUGUAGCUCAAAUUAUCAGUGCUGAUAGACUCAUGAAGUGAUUUUGUCAGGGGAAAAAAAAUCAAAACACAGACGCUGAUGAGGAGGACCCGCCGCGCUCGCACCACCCUUGCCUCCCCGUCUCGUUCGCCGACACCUCCGCUCCAUCAUCCCGCUUGCGCCGCCCUCGCCCUCCCCGUCCUGCUCGCGCUGCCCUCCACCCUCUCCUUGGAGCAUGACCUCCUGGCCUGUCCCCGUGCAGCUGAUUGAAGCUCUGCGCCUCAGCCAAUCGCCUCCCAAGACCUCACCUGCGAUGCACCGCUGAGCCAUCGGCAGACGUUCCUCAUCGCCCCUCGUGUGCCUCCGGAUCCGCGGUCUUCAGAGAGACAGCUACAGGCCAAGCCAGGCAUCUCUUCGAGGAGAGGCCUCACCCUCCUUGACGUGUACCCAUCCGUAUCCCCGCGCAUUUGGAACCCAUCUCGCUCCCCUCCAAAGCUCAGCCAAUAUGAUUUUUUUUACAGUCUCUAAUCCCACGCCACGAGAUUGUGGAGUCGCACUCCGUCAUCCCGUCCGGCUAUCCAGAUCAAUUUUGGUUUCCUUGUCGCCUUCGUCGAACCGAGAUCACUGAGGUGGGAUAGAGAGCUGGGCGGUAUAUCGAUUAAGGCAUCAUGAUAUUCAACCUUGCUGGGUUCGAAUUGGUGAUGCAGGAGCUUGGGACAUCAACUGCUGCGAAUAAAGAUCACGGUCUAGCCUUCAUGGACCUAUUAAUUAUCAAGAUUUGGAGCUUUCCCCCUCCAUUAAUUUCUGCUAUCCUGUGGUGGUAAAAGAAAAGAAAAAACAAGUUGACGGUUCCGUUAUCCUGUGGUGUGGGAUUAGCUACUGUAAAAAAAUGGACGGCUAGCUCUGGAGGGGAGCGAACGGAUCUGUUCCACUGCACGGGGAUACGGAUGGGUACAUGCGAAGGGGACAGGCAAGCUGCAGCCGCCUCACGGAUCCUUUUCGUGGGUGUCGUGUACCGGAGAUCCAUCCGGACUUGAAUCGCACUGGCCUCUGGUUAGCAACCCCUGCCUGCUUGGAUCCGCGGUUUGGCCUGGCCCUGUCUCUUCACAUGACUUCUCAAUGCGUCUCCCUCGCUACCAUGCUGUUCGAUUAAAUGCCUAGCCCGUGUCUUCAGUCAUGCAAUUCAUAUGAUAAAAGAGGGCUUACUAUCAUGUAUGUUUUUGCAGUGAUGUGUGGCUGCCUGGUCAGAACGAAAUACAAAUGCUUGGAGGAUUAAAAGGCAAGUCGCAGCAAAGUUCAGACACGAUGAAGCAUAUUUCAGAGUCAAGAAUGUAUCAUGUGAGUUCUGUCAAAUGAUAUCUAUAUUACCUGUUCCAAUCUCCUAAUGCGCUAGCUGCAUAUUGAUCUCAUUGAGUAUAAAUGAGCAAUAUGUAGUCUAAAAGAUUCACUGCUCCUGUUAGACAGUGAAUUGAGCUAUAACGUAGUAGUUCUUUCUUAUUUGUUCUUCUAUCAUCUCUACUCCUAAUAAAACUGUUAGGGCAAUAUGGACUCCUAAUUAUUUUUAGUGUUUUUCAUAUAUUAUCCUUUUUAUUGUAUUACAACAACACUGAUGUUGGUCGAGUUCCAUGUGGUGAAUUAUUAUUUUUAUUUGUUAGCUCCCGUAGCAACAUAGCCAA